CUGCCCGCUACCUGCCUUCUCCCCUGCGGCCCUGGCCAGCACCGGCAGCAUCCCCCUCCCCGCGCCCGCGAGAAGCCCAGCAUUCUAGGUGGACGGUUACCAGGGAUCCCGAGAGAUGUGUUUCCCUGUGACCCAUUGGGAAGAAAAACUUAGUUGCCUCGGUAACCGGGUUUGGCUUGGAUGCAAUGAUGCAGUGAGCUUUGUAGAAGCCCACAUGGGUCCGGAUGGAUUUUGCUCUGGAGAUUAAGCUUCAAGGAGACAAAACCUGGAAAAUUGAGCUGGAUAGAAUGACACAUGCUUGGGAGGUGAAGGAGGAUCAGGAGUCCAAGGCCAUCCUUGGCUACAUAGACACUUUGAAGUCACCUUGUCUCAAGAUGGAAAAACAAACUGGGAAAUGAAUUUAUUAUAAAUCGAACCAUAUUCCAAAUACGUAAAACGAGGUUCAUUAUUUUGUUGUGAAAA